rnacentral:tRNA from 2 species
GCCCAGGUGGCGAAAUUGGCAGACGCACCACUUUGAGGGGGUGGCGCCUUCGGGUGUGCGAGUUCGACUCUCGUCUUGGGCA